rnacentral:lncRNA from 1 species
CCGUGUCUGUUUUAAUAUUUUUUUCUUAGUAUAUGUUCAAAACACCGAGUCCAGAUAAACGAUUCGUUUUCAUUGUAUUUCUCAACUAGGUCUUCACUCUUCUCAUGGUACUAAAGAACCGUUCUGCCCGCGUUGUCGUCGAGACCGGCAUACAUGCAAAUACAUUAAGUAUCUGAAAGAUUCCCGGGUAUCCUUGGUUUAUAACAUUUAAUGUUUCCUGCAGCUUGUUAGGAAUGUUAUCAAAAUAUCCAGUUCAUUUUGUUAACCAUCUCCGAAUUUCGAUCUUGAAAUUCGUCUUUUGUAACAUGGGCAUCAUCUGCAUUUCAUUAAUGAUUAUGUCCCCAACAGCUAAAGUAAGUUGGUCAAUGUUUUUUGG